GGGACAGCUGGAGUUGGCCUGAGCUAAGGCCAGGGCAGUCUGGUUCUCAGGCUCUUGGACAAUCACGUGCUGCUGAGAGCCACAGAAGAGCUGAAAAUGAAAGAACCUACGUCCAUUUCCAUUACCCUCAGCAUAUUCACAGCCAUCUGUAAUGUCAACAUCAAGGGAUCUGAUGGCCUUAUCUGCCAUCCUUGGGCAAAUUGUUCACAGAUUGUUCAUACAAGUAUGAAGGCAAAACAUCGAAACAAAUAAAAUAAAAUAAAAAUAACUACAAGGAUGGAAAUGGAGAGAAGCCUGAGGAAAAGAAGGUCCAGCAACAGGCCCAAAGUGGGAUCCAGCUCAAGGAGAGGUCCCAAGAUCUGACACUAUUACCGAGUCUAUAGAGUAUUCACAAAAAGGGACCUAUCCUGCCCAAAAUCUGUAAGACCCAACAAGCAGUUGAAAGAGUCAGAGGCAGAUAUUUGCACCCAAUCAGUGGAUGGAAGCAGUUGACCCCUGUUGCUGAAUUAGGGGAAUGUUGAAAGAAGCUGAGGAGAAGGGCGAUCCUGUAGGAGGACCAGCAGUCUCAAUUAACCUGGAACCCCGAGAUCUCUC